CCGGUUGAUCCUGCCGGAGGUCACUGCUAUUGGGAUUCGACUAAGCCAUGCGAGUCGAGAGGGUUCGGCCCUCGGCUGACGGCUCAGUAACACGUGGAUAAUCUGCCCUUAGGUGGAGGAUACCCUCGGGAAACUGAGAAUAAUACUCCAUAGGUCUAGGAUGCUGGAAUGCAUCUAGACUGAAAACUCCGGUGCCUAAGGAUGAGUCUGCGGACUAUCAGGUUGUAGUCAGGGUAAAGACCUGACUAGCCUACGACGGAUACGGGUUGUGAGAGCAAUAACCCGGAGAUGAUAUCUGAGACACGAUAUCAGGCCCUACGGGGCGCAGCAGGCGCGAAAACUUCACACUGUGCGAAAGCACGAUGAGGGAAUCCCAAGUGCCAGCUCGUAAGAGUUGGCUGUUUUUCUGUCUAAAACACAGAGAGAGUAAGAGCUGGGUAAGACGGGUGCCAGCCGCCGCGGUAAUACCUGCAGCUCAAGUGGUGACCGUUAUUAUUGGGCCUAAAACGUCCGUAGCCGGUUUAGUAAAUGCCUGGGUAAAUCGUGUAGCUUAACUAUACGAAUUCUGGGUAGACUGCUAAACUUGGGACCGGGAGAGGCUAGAGGUACUCCUGGGGUAGAGGUGAAAUUCUGUAAUCCUGGGGGGACCACCAGUGGCGAAGGCGUCUAGCUAGAACGGGUCUGACGGUGAGGGACGAAGCCCU
rnacentral:rRNA from 1 species